AUUGAACGCUGGCGGCAGGCCUAACACAUGCAAGUCGAACGGAGUGGCGGACGGGGGAGUAAUGUCUGGGAAACUGCGUGAUGGAGGGGGAUAAAUAAUGGGAACGGUAGCUAAUACAGCAUACUCUAAGAUGAACCUAGGUCGGAGGAGCUAGUUGGUGGGGUAAAGGCCUACCAAGGCGACGAUCCGUAACUGGUCUGAGAGGAUGAUCAGGCACACUGGAACUGAGACACGGUCCAGACUCCUACGGGAGGCAGCAGUGGGGAAUAUUGGACAAUGGGCGAAAUCCGGAUCCAGCCAUGCCGCGUGUGUGAAGAAGGUCUUCGGAUUGUAAAGCACUUUAAGUUGGGAGGCGUUACCAACAGAAUAAGCACCGGCUAACUUCGUGCCAGCAGCCGCGGUAAUAC
rnacentral:rRNA from 1 species